rnacentral:rRNA from 1 species
AACGCUAGCUACAGGCUUAACACAUGCAAGUCGAGGGGAAACGACAUCGAAAGCUUGCUUUUGAUGGGCGUCGACCGGCGCACGGGUGAGUAACGCGUAUCCACCUUCCCUUGUCCACGGGAUAGCCCGUCGAAAGGCGGAUUAAUACCGUAUGAGGUCACAUGCUGGCAUCAAAGUGUGACGAAAGGUUUGGCGGACAAGGAUGGGGAUGCGUCCGAUUAGGUAGUCGGCGGGGUAACGGCCCACCGAGCCGACGAUCGGUAGGGGUUCUGAGAGGAAGGUCCCCCACAUUGGAACUGAGACACGGUCCAAACUCCUACGGGAGGCAGCAGUGAGGAAUAUUGGUCAAUGGGCGAGAGCCUGAACCAGCCAAGUAGCGUGCAGGAUGACGGCCCUAUGGGUUGUAAACUGCUUUUAUAAGGGAAUAAAGUGAGCCUCGUGAGGCUUUUUGCAUGUACCUUAUGAAUAAGGACCGGCUAAUUCCGUGCCAGCAGCCGCGGUAAUACGGAAGGUCCGGGCGUUAUCCGGAUUUAUUGGGUUUAAAGGGAGCGUAGGCGGUCUGUUAAGCGUGUUGUGAAAUGUAACGGCUCAACCGUUGACUUGCAGCGCGAACUGGCAGUCUUGAGUGCGCAGGAAGUAGGCGGAAUUCGUGGUGUAGCGGUGAAAUGCUUAGAUAUCACGAAGAACUCCGAUUG